GUUCCACUUCGCACAACAUCUCUGCCACCAACCAAUUGAGGGUCUUCAGGAGAAGUGUUCUUAUCUGUGCAAUAGAGCCCGCCAGAAGGGGCACCUGGCGACCCUCUUCAGAGGCCUGAUCCUGUGCUGCAGAAACCUAUGGACCUGCUCAACCUGUGCACUGGAAUUCUAGGGAUAGCCUGAGCUGUCCCUAGGAGGCUGGGAGCAUUCUCCAGCAGAGACCAGCAACUGACUCCAGUGUGUCAGAGAAGACAGGAAGACCAAGAAACAGCCAAGGAGAGCGGCUGAGGAAUGAGAGAUGGAGGAGACAACAGAUUGUCCUUCCCAUUGCCAAACCUUAGGCCGGGCCUGAGGGGAUCAGACUGGGCAAUUGAAUCCUCAAAUGUUCCUGGAAGAAGGACUACUUAGGAAUUGAAUGUGCUGAGACUUCCUCUCAAAGGAGCCCCUCCUUCUUAAAUGAAUCCAGGAGAGAAGUUCUGAAGACUGUGGUCCAUGCUAAAAGAAUGCAGAUAUUUAUAAAUGGUCAUCUGCAGUGAAUGAACCAAGUCCAAAUGACAAUCAAGGAGAACUGUAAACAUAGGAAAAGAGGGCUGAACCCACGCUUCCAGGGAA
rnacentral:lncRNA from 1 species